UAUGGAGCUUUAACUAACUAGUCCAAAAGAAAUAAAUUUAACCACCAAGGGAUAACAACAUCCUUUAUGGACUAGCAGUUUUGGUUGGGGUGACCUCGGAGAACAAGAGAUCCUCCGAGCGAUUUUAAAGACUAGACUUACAAGUCAAAUCAAAUUAUCGCUUAUUGAUCCAAAAAACUUGAUCAACGGAACAAGUUACCCUA
rnacentral:rRNA from 1 species